UCUAUCGGUUGCUUUGCACACAUCGAUCUUUACCCACUUGUACACUUUUGACAUCUAUUGACUACUUGACAUUUAUCGACUACCUGACAUUUAUCGACUAAUUGACAUCUAUCGACUACUUGACAUCUACUGCUACGUAUACUUACAUCUAUCAGCUAGUUGACAUCCAUCAACUACUUGACAUCUAUCAGCUACUUGACAUCUAUCGACUACUUGAGGAGAUCGAGGAUGCCUUACUUAAACAGGCUUUGACAGAGAGCAAGCAACCUGAUACUCAACAUAAAUCUGUGAUGGUCAGCUCUCUUUCUUGCUUGCUGAAGCUUCUGUCUGAGUAUCGGUUCAAGGAAUAUCAUCAGAUCCCAAUACGACGCACUCAUGUGUUAGUAGAUGCACUCAGAGCUGCAAGGCGGCCUGCAUUUACAAGCAUCAAGACAUUGACGGUUCACUUUGUAAGUGAGGAAGCAGAAGAUGGUGGAGGCCCAUCCAGGGAGUUUUGGUGCCUGUUGGGGAAAGAGAUAGCUCAGUCCAUGUUUGAGGGCCAUGAGCAGGGGCGUAGCU